rnacentral:rRNA from 1 species
UACGUAGGGUGCGAGCGUUGUCCGGAAUUAUUGGGCGUAAAGAGCUCGUAGGCGGUCUGUCGCGUCGGAUGUGAAAACCCGGGGCUCAACUCCGGGCUUGCAUUCGAUACGGGCAGGCUAGAGUUCGGUAGGGGAGUCUGGAAUUCCUGGUGUAGCGGUGAAAUGCGCAGAUAUCAGGAGGAACACCGGUGGCGAAGGCGGGACUCUGGGCCGAUACUGACGCUGAGGAGCGAAAGCGUGGGGAGCGAACAGG